rnacentral:rRNA from 1 species
UACGAAGGGAGCUAGCGUUACUCGGAAUCACUGGGCGUAAAGCGUGCGUAGGCGGAAAUUCAAGUCAGGGGUGAAAUCCCAGAGCUUAACUCUGGAAUUGCCUUUGAAACUGAAUUUCUUGAGUAUGGUAGAGGAUGGUGGAAUUCUUAGUGUAGAGGUGAAAUUCGUAGAUAUUAAGAGGAACACCGGUGGCGAAGGCGGCCAUCUGGGCCAUUACUGACGCUGAGGCACGAAAGCGUGGGGAGCAAACAGG